rnacentral:lncRNA from 1 species
AAUAUUACAUAUCUGUAAAAGGCAAUAGUAUGUAAUUCUGCCUUCACGUUCUGUUGUAAAUUUCCUAUUUCCCACUUGUGAAGUUCUGAUCACGAGCUUGUAGUAUUCAAGUGCUUUGUUGUCAGAAAGGAUAAAAUGUAGCAUCCCAUUGGUUGACAAUCAUAUAAAAAUUCACCGUGCUACAUAUGACGCUUGCUGACAAUUAUGGAAUUUCGGUCGAAUACAUGCUUAUUUCACAGCUCUUUAACCAUACAAUAUGCUUCAAAUGUUCAUUAAUAUAUAGCCUAUAAAUACACUACUUUAGCAACAAGAAUGUCACGAUCUCUAGCUGGAGUGCAUGUGAGCUUCAUUAGAGGGCACUCAUAUUCUAGACUUUUGCCAUUCACCCCGGACUACAUUCCCCAUGAUCCUUUGCCAGAAUCAUCAUCUAUUGCAUCACCUGUCUCUCAUUAGAUCUCAUCAGUUCACAGCUGUCUCACAUUAGAAGGACUUUAAAAGAUGCACACACAGUUGAGCACUCGGUUGGGCUGGAUCCGAGGAAGCGGCGUCAUUGUACGGAUUACGCUGCUAGCUACGUAGCUAGCUACGUGUUGGGAGGGUGAACGCGGCAGGUUCAAAUCAACGAUCGGUGUGAAAUUUGGAAAACGGAUUAUUAUAUUUAUAGGAAUCUUAAGGCGGUGGGGCAUGACUGUUCCGUGAAUGGAUCAGAGUCCUACCUGACCAGACCUGGUGGGCUUCUGUCCCGUCUGAUCGACUUUGGUGGUCUUCUGGUCAACCCUGGUGGGCUUCUGUCCGUCUGAUCGACUUUGGUGGUCUUCUGGUCAACCCUGGUGGGCUUCUGUCCCGUCUGAUUGACUGUGGUGGUCCUCUGCUCCGCCCAGGUGGGCAUCUGUCUCCUCUGCUCGGCUGUGGUGAUCCUCUGCCCCGCCCUGGUGGGCUUCUGUCCUGUCUGCUCUUCUGUGUUGGUCCUCUGCUCCACCCUCGUGGGCUUGUGUUUUCUAUGAAGUUAUUUUUGAUUCAAAACAACUGAACACCUGUGGCAGUGCGAUUUGUAGUUGUAGAGAAAAGCCACACAUGUGUAUCAGUAAAUUUGAAGUCACAGAGAGAAAUGUUUUAAGAGUUGCAAACCUGUAGAUUUUUUUCUCUCUCACAAACACAACACAACAGUUAC